rnacentral:lncRNA from 1 species
AUGAAGAUCACACGUGUGCUUCAUCAGCCCAAGAACAUCGUGGAAGCAAAUCUUUUCCUCUGGCCGCGGCCAGGCUGGAGAUCUCAACAUGCUCGCCGUGAGAUGAAUGUUCUGCGGGCAAUGUUCAGGUACCCGGAGAAGACAGCAAAGAGCAGCGUUGCCCCUUGUGGGCAAAAUGGCAUGGGGCUCCUCAUCCCUCGUCCAGCAACGGAUGCCGAGGAGCCCAUGGAGGUGGGAUCCCCUCAAAGUGCCCUGACACCCAGCACGAUCCCCUGCGGAGUCCUGCGCAUGGGGCUCAUCAUUCCCCAUCCGGCGGUGGAUGCUGUGCAGCCCAUGGACAUAGACUCUGAUGAGUUUUCCUACAGCCCCAAAGGGAGCCACUGGGGAUUCAAUCGCAUGGGGCUCCUCAUCCCCCGUCCAUCAGUGGAUGCUGUGCGGCCCAUGGAGGUGGACUCUGACCAGUUUGCCUCCAGGCCCAGAAGAAGCCGCUGGGGAGUCAAUCGCAUGGGGCUCCUCAUCCCCCGUCCAGCAUUGGAUGCUGUGCAGCCCAUGGAUGUGGACUCCAAUCAGUGUUACUACAACCCCAGAAAGAGACGCUGGGGAGUCAAUCUCAUGGGGCUCCUCAUCCACCGUCCAUCAGUGGAUGCUGUGCAGCCCAUGGAGGUGGAUUCCGAUCAGUGUUCCUAUAGUCCCAGAAGGAGCCGCUGGGGAGUCAAUCGCAUGGGUCUCCUCAUCCCCCGUCCGGCAGUGGAUGCUGUGCAGCCCAUGGAUGUGGACUCCAAUCAGUGUUACUACAGCCCCAGAAAGAGACGCUGGGGAGUCAAUCGCAUGGAGCCACAGCUCCAGCCACCACUCAGAACACCACUCGCGAUACGGACACGACCACCGAUCAGACGGCCGUGGCAGCCACAGCUUCAGCCACACAUCCGACUGCUGUGGGAGACACGGCCAUGGCCACCGAGAAUACAAUUACAUCUAACCAAAUACUUCCCAUUCCCCCAUCAUAUCCCUGUUCUUUUAGUCCAUAAAACCCCACCCACACCCCAGCUGACGGUUUCUGCAUCUAUUUCUUUGGGUACUCUGGGGAGGAGCGGGGGGCAGAUGGGUGUGACCUUUCCCUGGCGUGCCAGUGCAACAAUUUGA